rnacentral:rRNA from 1 species
AUCCUACGGGAGGCAGCAGUGAGGAAUAUUGCGCAAUGGGGGAAACCCCGACGCAGCGACGCCGCGUGAGUGAGGAAGGUUUUCGGAUCGUAAAGCUCUGUCAGAAGGGAAGAAGUGCUGCAUGGUUAAUACCCAUGCAGUUUGACGGUACCUUCAGAGGAAGCACCGGCUAACUCCGUGCCAGCAGCCGCGGUAAUACGGAGGGUGCGAGCGUUGUUCGGAAUUACUGGGCGUAAAGGGCGCGCAGGCGGCCUGAUAAGUCAGAUGUGAAAGUCCACGGCUCAACCGUGGAAGUGCAUUUGAAACUGUCUGGCUUGAGUAUCGGAGGGGAGUGUGGAAUUCCCGGUGUAGAGGUGAAAUUCGUAGAGAUCGGGAGGAACACCGGUGGCGAAGGCGACACUCUGGACGAAUACUGACGCUGAGGCGCGAAAGCGUGGGGAGCAAACAGGAUUAGAUACCCUGGUAGUCCACGCCGUAAACGAUGUGAACUAGAGGUAGGCGGUGUUGAUCCCGCCUGUCUCGCAGCUAACGCAUUAAGUUCACCGCCUGGGGAGUACGGUCGCAAGAUUAAAACUCAAAGGAAUUGACGGAAU